rnacentral:rRNA from 1 species
UCCAGACUCCUACGGGAGGCAGCAGUGGGGAAUAUUGCACAAUGGGGGAAACCCUGAUGCAGCGACGCCGCGUGAGUGAAGAAGUAUUUCGGUAUGUAAAGCUCUAUCAGCAGGAACGAGACAAGACGGUACCUGACUAAGAAGCCCCGGCUAACUACGUGCCAGCAGCCGCGGUAAUACGUAGGGGGCAAGCGUUAUCCGGAAUCACUGGGUGUAAAGGGAGCGUAGACGGCUGAGCAAGCCUGAAGUGAAAGGCAGGGGCCCAACCCCUGGACUGCUUUGGGAACUGUACGGCUGGAGUGCAGGAGAGGUAAGUGGAAUUCCUAGUGUAGCGGUGAAAUGCGUAGAUAUUAGGAGGAACACCGGUGGCGAAGGCGGCCUGCUGGACUGUGACUGACGUUGAGGCCCGAAGGCGUGGGGAGCAAACAGGAUUAGAUACCCGUGUACC